rnacentral:rRNA from 1 species
UACAGAGGUUGCGAGCGUUAAUCGGAUUUACUGGGCGUAAAGCGUGUGUAGGUGGUUGUACAAGUCGGUUGUGAAAUCCCUGGGCUCAACCUGGGAACUGCUUCCGAGACUGUACGACUAGAGAUCGGUAGAGGGCGGUGGAAUUUCCGGUGUAGCGGUGAAAUGCGUAGAUAUCAGGAGGAACACCAAUAGCGAAGGCAGCUCGCUGGGACGUUACUGACACUGAGGCGCGAAAGCGUGGGGAGCGAACAGG